rnacentral:lncRNA from 1 species
GGGAAAAGGUUAAGUAAAUAUGGGAGAAUUCACCUACAGUGAACUAAAUGAAAUUCGGCUGUGGGGGGAGAUGGCAAAACAGCUGAUGGUGAGAUCAUAAGAUAUAUCUCAAAAGAAUAAGAAAAUCAUGUGGGCAAAAUUGAACUAAGCAUCUAAACAGGGUAAGACUUAUUGCAGUCAUCGAGGUCAGGAAAGCAAUAGUAGACAAGAUACCAGAUAUUCAAAGCUUAACGGCACAAUCCAUGACUAAAAAUUUCAACUCUUCCGGUGCAGAGCUGUAAGCAGGAAGAACAGAUCGUCACAGGGGAAGGAAGCGCUUGGGCUGAAU